ACCUUUGUGGUAUAGUGGUUAGUACGCUCGAUGCGUAUUCGAGAGGUCAAUGGUUCGAGUCCCGGCGAGGGCA
rfam:Stegodyphus mimosarum contig5404, whole genome shotgun sequence.